rnacentral:rRNA from 1 species
CGUAGCGAAAGCGAGUUUUAACUGAGCGUUCAGUUACUUGACGUAGACCCGAAACCGGGCGACCUACCCAUGAGCAGGAUGAAGCGAAAGUAAAAUUUCGUGGAGGUCCGAACCCACGAGCGUUGAAAAGCUCGGGGAUGACUUGUGGGUAGCGGUGAAAUUCCAAUCGAGCCCGGAGAUAGCUGGUUCUCCCCGAAAUAGCUUUAGGGCUAGCCUCAAGGUGAGAGAUACGGAGGUAGAGCACUGAAUGUCCUAGGGGGUAUUGCACCUACCGAAGACUAUCAAACUCCGAAUGCCGUCAUCUUAUACUUGGGAGUCAGACUGUGGGUGAUAAGAUUCAUAGUCGAAAGGGCAACAGCCCAGAUCGUCAGCUAAGGUCCCUAAAUGUAAGUUAAGUGGUAAAGGAUGUGGGAUUGCACAGACAACCAGGAUGUUGGCUUAGAAGCAGCCACUCAUUCAAAGAGUGCGUAAUAGCUCACUGGUCGAGUGAUCCUGCGCCGAAGAUUUCCGGGGCUAAAACUUACUACCGAAGCUACGGCAUCAGUAAUGAUGGGUAGGGGAGCUUCCCAUACGGGUUGAAGCAUGACCGUAAGGACAUGUGGACAGUAUGGGAGUGAGAAUGUUGGCAUGAGUAGCGAGAUGUGGGUGAGAAUCCCACAGGCCGUAAACCCAAGGUUUCCAGGGGAAGGUUCGUCCGCCCUGGGUUAGUCGGGACCUAAGCUGAGGCCGAAAGGCGUAGGUGAUGGACAACAGGUUGAUAUUCCUGUAC